GACGAACGCUGGCGGCGUGCCUAACACAUGCAAGUCGAGCGAUGAAGCCCUUCGGGUGGAUUAGCGGCGGACGGGUGAGUAACACGUGGGUAACCUGCCUCAAAGUGGGGGAUAGCCUUCCGAAAGGAAGAUUAAUACCGCAUAAUCCAUAAGUUCCGCAUGGAACAUAUGGUAAAGAUUUAUUGCUUUGAGAUGGACCCGCGGCGCAUUAGCUAGUUGGUGAGGUAACGGCUCACCAAGGCCACGAUGCGUAGCCGACCUGAGAGGGUGAUCGGCCACAUUGGAACUGAGACACGGUCCAGACUCCUACGGGAGGCAGCAGUGGGGAAUAUUGCACAAUGGGCGAAAGCCUGAUGCAGCAACGCCGCGUGAGUGAUGAAGGCCUCGGUUGUAAAGCUCUGUCUUUGGGACGAGUAAUGACGGUACCCGGAGAACGAAGACCCCGGCUAACUUCGUGCCAGCAGCCGCGGUAACUACGUCUACUG
rnacentral:rRNA from 1 species